UCGGGAAUUUUGGGCAAUGGGCGAAAGCCUGACCCAGCAACGCCGCGUGAGGGAUGAAGUAUUUCGGUAUGUAAACCUCGAAAGAAUGGGAAGAAUAAAUGACGGUACCAUUUAUAAGCUCCGGCUAACUACGUGCCAGCAGCCGCGGUAAUACGUAGGGAGCAAGCGUUGUUCGGAUUUACUGGGCGUAAAGGGCGCGUAGGCGGCGCGGUAAGUCACUUGUGAAAUCUCUGAGCUUAACUCAGAACGGCCAAGUGAUACUGCUGUGUUAGAGUGCGGAAGAGGCUACCGGAAUUCUUGGUGUAGCGGUGAAAUGCGUAGAUAUCAAGAGGAACACCUGAGGCGAAGGCGGGUUGCUGGGCCGACACUGACGCUGAUGCGCGAAAGCCAGGGGAGCAAACG
rnacentral:rRNA from 1 species